ACAGUACUGACGCUGAGAUGCGAAAGCGUGGGGAGCAAACAGGAUUAGAUACCUGGUAGUCACGCUGUAAACGAUGUCGAUUUGGAGUUUGUUGCCUAGAGUGAUGGGCUCCGAAGCUAACGCGAUAAAUCGACCGCUGGGGAGUACGGCCGCAAGGUUAAAACUCAAAUGAAUUGACGGGGGCCCGCACAAGCGGUGGAGCAUGUGGUUUAAUUCGAUGCAACGCGAAGAACCUUACCUGGUCUUGACAUCCAUAGAAUUCUGCAGAGAUGUGGGAGUGCCUUCGGGAACUAUGAGACAGGUGCUGCAUGGCUGUCGUCAGCUCGUGUUGUGAAAUGUUGGGUUAAGUCCCGCAACGAGCGCAACCCUUAUUCUUUGUUGCCAGCGAUUUGGUCGGGAACUCAAAGGAGACUGCCGUUGAUAAAGCGGAGGAAGGUGGGGACGACGUCAAGUCAUCAUGGCCCUUACGACCAGGGCUACACACGUGCUACAAUGGCGUAUACAAAGGGAAGCGAAGGUGCGAGCUGGAGCGGAUCUCAUGAAGUACGUCUAAGUUCGGAUUGGAGUCUGCAACUCGACUCCAUGAAGUCGGAAUCGCUAGUAAUCGUAGAUCAGAAUGCUACGGUGAAUACGUUCCCGGGCCUUGUACACACCGCCCGUCACACCAUGGGAGUGGGUUGCACCAGAAGUAGAUAGCUUAACCGCGAGGGGGGCGUUUACCACGGUGUGAUUCAUGACUGGGGUGAAGUCGUAACAAGGUAACCA
rnacentral:rRNA from 1 species